GGAGGUGUCCGAGCGCCUGGUGGGCUCCGCCGUCUUCAACACGGUUGGGACGGAUGAACUCCGUCCGGCGGGUUCGAUUCCCGUCCACCUCCGC
rnacentral:tRNA from 1 species